GUCUUGCUAUGUUGCCCAGGCUGGUCUUGAACUCCUGGCUUCCCACCUUGACCGCCCAAAGUGCUGAGAUUACAGCUUUCCUUGAAACCAAAGGACAGAGGUUAUUCAGUUGAAAGAUGGCCACAAAUUCACAGGCAUCAAGAGAUUAACGAGAAAAAGAAGGGACCAUUAUGCCUGAAACAGAACCCUCUUUGAUGUUCUCCUUUGAAAACCUAAGAGAAAUAAAAGCAGAAAAGGAUUCUACUGGUUACGACUUCCUACAGUAAUAUGGCAGGAAUAAAGCCAACCAAAACAAAACCUUGGAGUGUCAACCUUUGUUGACAGAAGCUGCCCUCUGCUUUACCUGUGGAAAAUAGCAGCAAACUCUCACAGAAUGUGCCCUCAGGCGCCAAACCUGC